UACGUAGGUGGCAAGCGUUAUCCGGAUUUAUUGGGCGUAAAGCGAGCGCAGGCGGUUUUUUAAGUCUGAUGUGAAAGCCCUCGGCUUAACCGAGGAAGUGCAUCGGAAACUGGGAAACUUGAGUGCAGAAGAGGACAGUGGAACUCCAUGUGUAGCGGUGAAAUGCGUAGAUAUAUGGAAGAACACCAGUGGCGAAGGCGGCUGUCUGGUCUGUAACUGACGCUGAGGCUCGAAAGCAUGGGUAGCGAACAGG
rnacentral:rRNA from 2 species